rnacentral:lncRNA from 1 species
UUCUGUAUACAGCUGUAGAUUUGGUGUGUCCCUGGCAGGAGGUGUGCUCAGGAUCCUUUUAUGUCACCGUCUUAAACUGGACCCUGUCUCUUUUUGCACAUGUGCUCCUUGGUGCAGAAGGCCCUGUUUGAGGAGGAGGACCACAUCCAGAAGUUGCAGCAGAAGGUGGCCACCCUGGAGAAGGGGAACAAGCAGGUGUGAGAUCCAGUGAAGAAGGUCAAGGAGGUCCCAAGUGCACAAGAACGGCUGCCACCUGGAGCUGCUAAACUGAAAGAGAAGCUGCCAGAUACAUCAAAAAAUACAUCUAGAUGUGGAACAAUUCUCACGGAACACCUACUGCGCGCUGGCAGGUAAAAGGACCAAAGUUGUAGGACAGAGCUCCAUGUACCCAGCUCCUGAGGAGGAAUACUCAAGUUUUGCUCUUCUCCCAGAAGUGCUCCAGUCCCACCUACCUCACACCACAGCUCAGAAAUGGCUUCUCCUCCAAUAACUGGGGAACAAACAGACUCUGACAACCACAGAGCAAAGAGGCCCUGCACAACAUCCAGAGCAGGCUCUGGUUACCACAACACCAGUCACACACUAUCAAGGGGAUAACAGCCAGCACAGACUGAGGAAAGAUGUGGGAUGCAUCCAUACUAAAAACAGGCAUCACACCAAAAAUAUUAGACUCGUGUAGGCUAUACAGGGAUGCUCCCAUAUAUAAACAUCCCUCCAAGACCACAAAAUAGCUCUUUGUCCUAAACUCAUAGAGUCAGAGAAAUAGAAGUAAAAAGCAGAAGAACCACUCCCAAUGAAAAGAUCAAGAGAAAACCCCUGAAAGAACAAACAGUGAAAAAGACCUCUCCAGUCUACAAGACCCUGAGUUCAGAAAGGCGGUAAUAAAAGUACUAAAUGGAUUAGGAAAGACUGUUGAUAGAAAUACAGGUUAUUGAAAAAAGGAACCAGAAACUGUAAGGAGGAGCCAACUAGAAAACUCAUUUGCUGAAAUAGAAGCUGAGCUAAGUGCAAUGCAUAGCAAACUGAAUAAUGCAGAAGCACAAAUAAGUGAUCUGGAAUUUUGAAUAAUGAAAAUCACCCAAUUGGAACAGUAGAAAAACAAAACAAAACAAAAAAAGAGCAAUAUACCAGACCUAUGGAAUAAUAUAGAAUGUACCAAUCUAUGCAUAAUCGGGAUCCCAGAGGAGAGGAAAGAAAAAAAGAGGAUUGAAAAUAUAUUUGAAGAAAUUAGGGCUUAAAAUUUCCCAACCUAAUAAAGGAAACAUACCCAGGUACAGGAACCAUAGAGAUUCCUAAGCACUACGAACUCAGACAGACAUAACUAAAAUAGCAGCAGUUACAGGCAACAAGAGAAAAAGUUAAUUUCAAGGGAACCCCUCUAAGGCUAUAAGCUGAUUUCUCUACAGGAACAUUGCAGGCCAGAAAGGACAUGCAAGGUAUGUUCAAAGUUCUGAAAGGGAAAAACCUGCUACUGAAGAUACCCUACCUAGCAAGAGAAUCAUUUAGAAUAGAAGGAGAGAGAAAGAAUUUCUCAUGAAAGAACAAAACCAAUACAGCAAUACCAAACCUAUCCCAAAGGAAAUAUUGCAAGUUCUCUAAAUAGAAAACAAGCUAGACAAUAGAGGAAGGAGAAACUCACAGUUGGGAAGUAAACCACUUAAAUAAGCCAGAGGUAAAAAAAUUUUGUGUGUGAAAGUGAUAACUACAAUGAACAAAAAAAUUAAAAUGGGGAGGGGAGUAAGAGAAUGUAGAUUUUUUUUUUAGAAUGUACUUGAGCCUGUAUAACUACCAGUCUAAAGCAAGUAGAUAUAAAAUGGGUUAAUAUACUUAAAAAACAUGGUAACCACACAUCAAAAACAUGCAAUAGAUUCAUGAAAACUAAGAGAAUAUAAGCAUAAUAUGAAAGAAAACCAUCAAACCACAAAAGGAAACAGAACUAAGGAGAAAUACAAAAUCAACUGGAAAACAAGGUUUACAAUGGCAGUGAUUACAUAUAUCAAUAAUCAUGAUAGAUGUCCAUACACUAAAUGCUCCAAUCAAAAGACACCCAGUGCCAGACUGGAUAAUAAAACACAAGCCCACAAGAUGCUGCCUACAAGAGAACCACUUUAGGGCAAAGGACAUACAUAGACUGAAAGUGAAGGAGAUAGAAAAAGAUUUCAUGCAAACAAAUGAUGAAGCGGGGGAUGCAAAACAGACUUUUAAACAAAGGCCCAUGGAAUAUGUAUGCUGUGGUACACGGAAAAACUGGCCAACAGGAGCUUGUUCUACCAGCACAGGGAGCUCUAUCCAAUAUUCUGUGAUGAUCUACAUAAGAAAGAGUGAAAAAGAAUGGGUGUGUGUAUAUGAAUAAAUUAAUCAUUUUGUUGUGCAGCAGAAAUUAUAACAUUGUAAAUCAUGAAGAAAGAUAAAGGACACUAUAUAAUAAAGUGAACAAUACAAGACAAGGAUAUUACAUGCAUUUAUAUAUGUACCCAAUAUAAGAGCACCUAAAUAUAUAAAAUUAACAAAAGGAAUGAAUUGAUGGCAAUACAAUAAUAAGCUUUAAAACCCCACUCACGUCAAUGGACAAAUCUUCUAGAGAGAAAAUCAGUAAGACAACAAAGAUCCUAAAUGAUACAUUAGAUGAGUUACCUAAUUGAUAGUUUCAGGACAUUGUAUCAGAAAAAAUUAACUGGAAUACACAUUCUUUUCAAGCGCACAUGAAACAUUCUCUAGGACUGACCACAUACUAAGACACAAAACUGACCUCAGCAAGUUUAAGAGGAAAGAAAUUACUUCAGGCAUCUUUUCUGACCACAACAGUAUGGAAUUAUAAAUUAACCACAAGAAAAAAGAAAAAAAUUGCAUGGAGAUUUAAACAAUAUGCUACUGAAAGUAAAUAGGUCAAUGACGAAAUCAAACAGUAAAUUUUAAAAAUGCCUUGGGACAAGUGACAAUGAAAAUAUAACCAUACAAACUCUGUGGGAUGCAGAAAAAGCAGUCCUUAGAGGGAAGUUCCUAGUGAUACAGGCCUUCUUUAAAAAGUAAAAAUCACAAACAACCUAACUCACCAUCUAAUAGAAUUAGGAAAAGAAAAACAAUACCUGAAGUCAGCAGAAGGAAGGAAAGCAUGAAGAUGAGAGAGGAAAUAAAGAUUUUUAAAACUUGGGAAAAAAGCAAUAAAACCAAAAGCUUAUGGGCGUUCCCGUUGUGGUGCAGUGGAAAUGAAUCUGACUAGUAUUCUUGAGGAUAUGGGUUCAAUUCCUCCCUCACUCAGUGGGUCAGGAAUCUGGUAUUGCCUUGAGCUACAGGGCAUGGAUUAUAUGUUGCUGUGGCUGUGGUGUAGGCCAGGAGCAAUCCAAACCCUAGCCUGGGAACUUCCAUAUGCUGUGGGUGUGGCCCUAAAAAGAAAAAGGAAAAAAAAAUUAGUUAAUCUGAACAAAUCUACCACUAGAAGUGAAAUAGAAUCUAAUUUUAAACUCCCUGCAAACAAAAGUCCAGGACCAGAAAGCUUCUUUGGGGAAUUCUACCGUGUAUACAAAGAACUUCUUCUAUUGAUCCUUUUCAAACUCUUCCAAAAACUGAAGAAAAAGGAAUACUCCCAAAGUCAUUCUAUGAAGCCACCAUCACCCUGAUACCAAAACCAAAGACACUGCCAAAAAAGAAAAUUAUAGGCUAAUAUCUGAUGAAUAUAGAUACAAGAAAAUCUUAACAAAAUAUUAGCCAACUGCAUCCACCAACAUAUACAAAAGGUUAUACGAAGACUAAGUUGGAUUCAUCCCAGGGUCACAAAGAUAGUUCAACAAAUGCAAAUCAAUCAGUAUGCUACACCGCAUCAACAAAUGAAAAGACAAAAAAACAAAUAAUCAUCUCAAUAGAUGCAGAAAAAGCCUAUGAUAAAAUUCAACAUCCAUUCAUGAUAAAACCUCUUACCAAAGUGGACAUAGAACAUUUCAACAUAAUAAAAACUAUUUAUGGAGCUCCUGUCAUGGCUCUCAGAAAAAUACCAAAAAGGGAAAGUACAAAAUAGUAUCUUUAAAAUUUGCAUUAGGAGUUCCCAUCGUGGCUCAGUGGUUAACGAAUCUGACUAGGAACCAUGAGGUUGCAGGUUCGAUCCCUGGCCUUGCUUAGUGGGUUAAGGAUCCGGUGUUGCCAUGAGCUGUGGUGUAGAUUGCAGAUGCAGCUCAGAUCUGGCAUUGCUGUGGCUCUGGCGUAGGCCAGUGGCUCCAGCUCCAAUUCAACCCCUAGCCUGGGAACCUCCAUAUGCCGCGGGAACGGCCCAAGAAAAUGGCAAAAAA